rnacentral:rRNA from 1 species
UACGGAGGAUCCGAGCGUUAUCCGGAUUUAUUGGGUUUAAAGGGUGCGUAGGCGGAUUGUUAAGUCAGCUGUCAAAGUUUACGGCUCAACCGUGGAAUUGCAGUUGAUACUGUUGGACUUGAGUAUGCAUGAGGUGGGGGGAAUUUGUGGUGUAGCGGUGAAAUGCGUAGAUAUCACGAAGAACACCAAUUGCGAAGGCAGCCCACUGGGGUAUAACUGACGCUGAUGGACGAAGGUUUGGGGAGCAAACGGG